rnacentral:lncRNA from 1 species
UUGAACCCAGGAAGCAGAGGUUGCAGUGACCUGAGAUCACGCCACUGCACUCCAGCCUGGGCAACAGAGUGAGACUGUCUCAAAAAAAAAAAAGAAAGAAAGAAAAAGAAAAAGAAACUAUGUUUGGACACCUAACAGCAACUAAGUUCUCAGCUCAAGAAGUCUGGAGCUUGAUGAGAGGAAGAGCAAAGGGUGAAAAGAGAGCUUCCCCUUGGUAAAGCUUAGUCUUUUGACUUAAAAAGUACAUGUUCU